UACGUAGGGGGGCGAGCGUUGUCCGGAUUCAUUGGGCGAAAGCGCUUUAAGGCGGUUCGCUAAGUCGCGUGUGAAACCUCCAGGCUCAACCUGGAGACGCCACGCGAUACUGGCGUGACUAGAGUUCGGUAGGGGAUCACGGAAUUCCUGGUGUAGCGGUGAAUGCGCAGAUAUCAGGAGAACACCGGUGGCGAAGGCGGGAUCCUGGCCGUAGGUCGAC
rnacentral:rRNA from 1 species